UACGGAGGGUGCGAGCGUUAAUCGGAAUUACUGGGCGUAAAGGGUGCGUAGGUGGUUGUAUAAGUUAUCUGUGAAAUCCCUGGGCUUAACCUGGGCAGGUCAGAUAAGACUGUAUGACUCGAGUAUAGGAGAGGGUAGUGGAAUUUCCGGUGUAGCGGUGAAAUGCGUAGAGAUCGGAAGGAACACCAGUGGCGAAGGCGGCUACCUGGCCAAAUACUGACACUGAGGCACGAAAGCGUGGGGAGCAAACAGG
rnacentral:rRNA from 1 species